CAUGCAGUCGAGCGGAUGAAGGUAGCUUGCUACCGGAUUCAGCGGCGGACGGGUGAGUAAUGCUUAGGAAUCUGCCUAUUAGUGGGGGACAACGUUCCGAAAGGAGCGCUAAUACCGCAUACGUCCUACGGGAGAAAGCAGGGGACCUUCGGGCCUUGCGCUAAUAGAUGAGCCUAAGUCGGAUUAGCUAGUUGGUAGGGUAAAGGCCUACCAAGGCGACGAUCUGUAGCGGGUCUGAGAGGAUGAUCCGCCACACUGGGACUGAGACACGGCCCAGACUCCUACGGGAGGCAGCAGUGGGGAAUAUUGGACAAUGGGGGGAACCCUGAUCCAGCCAUGCCGCGUGUGUGAAGAAGGCCUUUUGGUUGUAAAGCACUUUAAGCGAGGAGGAGGCUACCUAGAUUAAUACUUUAGGAUAGUGGACGUUACUCGCAGAAUAAGCACCGGCUAACUCUGUGCCAGCAGCCGCGGUAAUACAGAGGGUGCGAGCGUUAAUCGGAUUUACUGGGCGUAAAGCGUGCGUAGGCGGCCAAUUAAGUCAAAUGUGAAAUCCCCGAGCUUAACUUGGGAAUUGCAUUCGAUACUGGUUGGCUAGAGUAUGGGAGAGGAUGGUAGAAUUCCAGGUGUAGCGGUGAAAUGCGUAGAGAUCUGGAGGAAUACCGAUGGCGAAGGCAGCCAUCUGGCCUAAUACUGACGCUGAGGUACGAAAGCAUGGGGAGCAAACAGGAUUAGAUACCCUGGUAGUCCAUGCCGUAAACGAUGUCUACUAGCCGUUGGGGCCCUUGAGGCUUUAGUGGCGCAGCUAACGCGAUAAGUAGACCGCCUGGGGAGUACGGUCGCAAGACUAAAACUCAAAUGAAUUGACGGGGGCCCGCACAAGCGGUGGAGCAUGUGGUUUAAUUCGAUGCAACGCGAAGAACCUUUACCUGG
rnacentral:rRNA from 1 species